CCAUGUUGGUAGGAUUCGAACCUGCACGGGAAGCCCCAAUGGAUUUCAGGGUCAUCGCCUUGACCACUCGGCCGACUGCUCG